rnacentral:misc_RNA from 1 species
UCAAACUUGGUCAUUUAGAGGAAGUAAAAGUCGUAACAAGGUUUCCGUAGGUGAACCUGCGGAAGGAUCAUUAACGUGUUCGUUCGGCCGCUCGGGUCGGCCCUGCACCGACGGAGACGUCGUGCUGCGGGCUCUCGGGCGAGCCUUCCAAACCAAACCCCUGUGAACCUUUGGGACGGCCGAGUCUUUGCCGGCGGAGUCGUCCCCUUUACAAACUCUUGUAUCUCAUAGAAUGACUUGCGGACCUCGUCCGCCUAAACACAUAACAACUUUCAACAACGGAUCUCUUGGCUCUCGCAUCGAUGAAGAACGCAGC